rnacentral:rRNA from 1 species
UACGAAGUGGGCUAGCGUUGCUCGGAAUCACUGGGCGUAAAGGGUGCGUAGGCGGGUCUUUAAGUCAGGGGUGAAAUCCUGGAGCUCAACUCCAGAACUGCCUUUGAUACUGAGGAUCUUGAGUUCGGGAGAGGUGAGUGGAACUGCGAGUGUAGAGGUGAAAUUCGUAGAUAUUCGCAAGAACACCAGUGGCGAAGGCGGCUCACUGGCCCGAUACUGACGCUGAGGCGCGAAAGCCAGGGGAGCAAACGGG